rnacentral:rRNA from 1 species
UGGGGAAUAUUGCACAGUGGGCGCAAGCCUGAUGCAGCGACGCCGCGUGAGGGAUGACGGCCUUCGGGUUGUAAACCUCUGUUAGCAUCGAAGAAGCGAAAGUGACGGUAGGUGCAGAGAAAGCGCCGGCUAACUACGUGCCAGCAGCCGCGGUAAUACGUAGGGCGCGAGCGUUGUCCGGAAUUAUUGGGCGUAAAGAGCUUGUAGGCGGUUGGUCGCGUCUGCUGUGAAAGGCCGGGGCUUAACUCCGGUUUUGCAGUGGGUACGGGCUAACUAGAGUGCAGUAGGGGAGACUGGAAUUCCUGGUGUAGCGGUGGAAUGCACAGAUAUCAGGAGGAACACCGAUGGCGAAGGCAGGUCUCUGGGCUGUAACUGACGCUGAGAAGCGAAAGCAUGGGGAGCGAACAGGAUUAGAUACCCUGGUAGUCCAUGCCGUAAACGUUGGGCACUAGGUGUGGGGGACAUUCCACGUUUUCCGCGCCGUAGCUAACGCAUUAAGUGCCCCGCCUGGGGAGUACGGCCGCAAGGCUA